rnacentral:rRNA from 1 species
ACGAACGCUGGCGGCAGGCCUAACACCUGCCAGUCGAACGAAGUCUUCGGACUUAGUGGCGCACGGGUGAGUAACACGUGGGAAUAUACCUUACGCUGGGGGAUAACAUCGGGAAACUGAUGCUAAUACCGCAUACGCCCUUCGGGGGAAAGAUUUAUCGGCGAAAGAUUAGCCCGCGUCCGAUUAGCUAGUUGGUGAGGUAAUGGCUCACCAAGGCUCCGAUCGGUAGCUGGUCUGAGAGGAUGACCAGCCACACUGGGACUGAGACACGGCCCAGACUCCUACGGGAGGCAGCAGUGGGGAAUAUUGGACAAUGGGCGCAAGCCUGAUCCAGCCAUGCCGCGUGAGUGAUGAAGGCCUUAGGGUUGUAAAGCUCUUUCACCCACGACGAUGAUGACGGUAGUGGGAGAAGAAGCCCCGGCUAACUUCGUG